AUCUGGCUGAUGAGUUCCGAAUGGGACGAAACGAACGUCCUGGAU
rnacentral:hammerhead_ribozyme from 2 species